rnacentral:rRNA from 1 species
AUUGAACGCUGGCGGCAGGCCUAACACAUGCAAGUCGGACGGUAGCACAGAGGAGCUUGCUCCUUGGGCGACGAGUGGCGGACGGGUGAGUAAUGUCUGGGGAUCUGCCCGAUAGAGGGGGAUAACCACUGGAAACGGUGGCUAAUACCGCAUAACGUCGCAAGACCAAAGAGGGGGACCUUCGGGCCUCUCACUAUCGGAUGAACCCAGAUGGGAUUAGCUAGUAGGCGGGGUAAUGGCCCACCUAGGCGACGAUCCCUAGCUGGUCUGAGAGGAGGACCAGCCACACUGGAACUGAGACACGGUCCAGACUCCUACGGGAGGCAGCAGUGGGGAAUAUUGCACAAUGGGCGCAAGCCUGAUGCAGCCAUGCCGCGUGUAUGAAGAAGGCCUUCGGGUUGUAAAGUACUUUCAGCGGGGAGGAAGGCGGUGAGGUUAAUAACCUUGCCGAUUGACGUUACCCGCAGAAGAAGCACCGGCUAACUCCGUGCCAGCCGCCGCAGUAAAAC